rnacentral:rRNA from 1 species
GACGAACGCUGGCGGCGUGCUUAACACAUGCAAGUCGAACGGAAAGGCCUUUUCGGAGGUACUCGAGUGGCGAACGGGUGAGUAACACGUGGGUGAUCUGCCCUGCACUCUGGGAUAAGCCUGGGAAACUGGGUCUAAUACCGGAUAGGACCGCACUUUAGUGUGUGUGGUGGAAAGUUUUUUCGGUGUAGGAUGAGCCCGCGGCCUAUCAGCUUGUUGGUGGGGUAAUGGCCUACCAAGGCGGCGACGGGUAGCCGGACUGAGGGGUUGGUCGGCCACAUUGGGACUGGGAUACGGCCCAGACUCCUACGGGAGGCAGCAGUGGGGAAUAUUGCACAAUGGGCGCAAGCCUGAUGCAGCGACGCCGCGUGGGGGAUGACGGCCUUCGGGUUGGAAACUCCUUUCGCCAGGGACGAAGCGUUUUGUGACGGUACCUGGAGAAGAAGCACCGGCUAACUACGUG